GAUGAACGCUGGCGGCGUGCUUAACACAUGCAAGUCGAACGGUGAAGGAGAGCUUGCUCUCUGGAUCAGUGGCGAACGGGUGAGUAACACGUGAGCAAUCUGCCCCUGACUCUGGGAUAAGCGCUGGAAACGGCGUCUAAUACCGGAUACGAGCUGCGAAGGCAUCUUCAGCAGCUGGAAAGAAUUUCGGUCAGGGAUGAGCUCGCGGCCUAUCAGCUUGUUGGUGAGGUAAUGGCUCACCAAGGCGUCGACGGGUAGCCGGCCUGAGAGGGUGACCGGCCACACUGGGACUGAGACACGGCCCAGACUCCUACGGGAGGCAGCAGUGGGGAAUAUUGCACAAUGGGCGAAAGCCUGAUGCAGCAACGCCGCGUGAGGGACGACGGCCUUCGGGUUGUAAACCUCUUUUAGCAGGGAAGAAGCGAAAGUGACGGUACCUGCAGAAAAAGCACCGGCUAACUACGUGCCAGCCGCCGCGGUAA
rnacentral:rRNA from 1 species